rnacentral:rRNA from 1 species
GAGCUUGCUCCCUGAUGUUAGCGGCGGACGGGUGAGUAACACGUGGGUAACCUGCCUGUAAGACUGGGAUAACUCCGGGAAACCGGGGCUAAUACCGGAUGGUUGUUUGAACCGCAUGGUUCAGACAUAAAAGGUGGCUUCGGCUACCACUUACAGAUGGACCCGCGGCGCAUUAGCUAGUUGGUGAGGUAACGGCUCACCAAGGCGACGAUGCGUAGCCGACCUGAGAGGGUGAUCGGCCACACUGGGACUGAGACACGGCCCAGACUCCUACGGGAGGCAGCAGUAGGGAAUCUUCCGCAAUGGACGAAAGUCUGACGGAGCAACGCCGCGUGAGUGAUGAAGGUUUUCGGAUCGUAAAGCUCUGUUGUUAGGGAAGAACAAGUGCCGUUCAAAUAGGGCGGCACCUUGACGGUACCUAACCAGAAAGCCACGGCUAACUACGUGCCAGCAGCCGCGGUAAUACGUAGGUGGCAAGCGUUGUCCGGAAUUAUUGGGCGUAAAGGGCUCGCAGGCGGUUUCUUAAGUCUGAUGUGAAAGCCCCCGGCUCAACCGGGGAGGGUCAUUGGAAACUGGGGAACUUGAGUGCAGAAGAGGAGAGUGGAAUUCCACGUGUAGCGGUGAAAUGCGUAGAGAUGUGGAGGAACACCAGUGGCGAAGGCGACUCUCUGGUCUGUAACUGACGCUGAGGAGCGAAAGCGUGGGGAGCGAACAGGAUUAGAUACCCUGGUAGUCCACGCCGUAAACGAUGAGUGCUAAGUGUUAGGGGGUUUCCGCCCCUUAGUGCUGCAGCUAACGCAUUAAGCACUCCGCCUGGGGAGUACGGUCGCAAGACUGAAACUCAAAGGAAUUGACGGGGGCCCGCACAAGCGGUGGAGCAUGUGGUUUAAUUCGAAGCAACGCGAAGAACCCUUACCAGGUCUUGACAUCCUCUGACAAUCCUAGAGAUAGGACGUCCCCUUUCGGGGGCAGAGUGACAGUGAUGCAUGGUUGUCGUCAGCUCGUGUCGUGAGAUGUUGGGUUAAGUCCCGCAACGAGCGCAACCCUUGAUCUAGUGCAGCAUC